GCCUCGAUCCCAGGCCGAGUUUUCGCUUUUAUAACGGUUAGGCGAACAACUGGGCCUGGUACUAGUUGUCUGCGCAUGCGUCAGUCGUUUGUCAGAUUCUGAUGAAUGGAUAUUCUCGUUCACUUUCGUGACAUUUAUAUUCGUGUACUAUCGUGUACUAGAAGUCAGUUUCCGUUUUAUCAUUAUUGAAAUCGAUUGGAAUGGCUCUUAGUUGAAGCUUCUCUCUUCUCUGAAGCUUAUUCUGAAGACUGAACAACAAGGGAAGAGGUAUAAAGCUUUGUCAAGCUUGUUAAGGAUCUAGGAGCAAUGGCUAAUAUCCAGCUAUCCCAACAGUGCUCCUCUUGGCUAUACUAACGGACGAGACUGGACAGUUUGAGGACUGGAGUAUGACCUGCUCAUUCGAGCGUUGCUGGGUAGCUCAGAGACAUCAAGAGAAUCUACGUUUUCUCAAGCAAAAUUUAACUGAGUUACGAGUUGGGGCCUAGAAUCACAGAAGUCCAGCAGCCUGCUAAAUCUUUUUGAAAUGUAAUUUGAAGGCAUUCAAUCAUCCUGAAGUUGCCCUGGGUCACUGUAAUUGUGCUGCAGCACAACUGGCAACUCCCCAGGCCUUUGUGAAGCAGCUCCCUAUGUGCAUCUUUUGUGUACUCACUCUGUGCAUUUUCUGUGUACAAAUUUCCAUUAUUGAUUUAUUAAAUAUUUUUGCCGACCACAAA